rnacentral:lncRNA from 1 species
AUGAAGUGGACUUGUAAAUUGUGCCCAUUUUCAACCUACAAUCAGAGAAACAUCAGAAGGCAUUACACUCUGAAGCACGGACACCACAGCCGUUUUUGCCCCUUGCCUUGCAUCUUUACUGACUGUUUUUUCACAUUCCGAAGGCAAGUUGACCUUAACAGACAUUUAUUCAAGCAACAUGGAAAACAGCAGGAGAAAGGGUCUUCAGAUCCACUGACUUUUCAAAUACUCUGUGCAUUGUGCAGCUUUUGUGAACAUUGUAACCUUAAACAGUAUUUAUCACAUUUGCGUAGCCAUCUGAAAAAUAAGGAAACCGUGAAGUGCCCUUACCAGGAUUGCUCAUUUCAAUCAACUGUAUAUUCCACCUUUACAGGACAUCACAGUUCUGCUGGCAUAAAGAAUUUAAGACUUGAGUUGGUACGCAACCAUUUAUGUGAGAAUGGUGAGGAAGCUCAGGACAAUACAGAUUUGCUUAGUUUCAAUAAGCCUGUUGCAGAUGUUUUAGAAAAUGUUGAAAUUACUGAUGAGGUGUGUUUGCAGCGUAAAUUGGCAUCCCUUUUCUUGCGCAUGCAAACGCUUCUUCACGUUUCAAAGACAGCCACUCAGGAAAUCAUUGAUGAGUUUUAUGAGGUUAGUGUGCUCACUGGGGAACUAAGCAAGAAGUCCAUAGAACAAGUACUUUCCCAGCACAACAUCAGUUUAGAGCCAUCAACAUUUACACUAAUAGCGGAUACAUUGGAUAAGUCAGUGCCACUUUCAUUCUUGUCAAAAUCUGGUGAAUUGGGCACAGAACAUAAGAGAGCUUCUUUUUUCAGGCAAAAUUUUAAGAUUAUUGAGCCAGUGGAGUACUUUUUGGAUUCAGCAAAGGGCAGGAAAGAGGUUCAUGUUCCGCUUUUACCUGUUCUGACAGAGCUGUUGAAUAGGGAUGAUGUCCUUGACAAGGCCUUAGACGAAGAUGUUGGGUCAAAUUGUGGAUUCUAUAAAAGUUUUCGUGAUGGGAAAUAUUUCCAAGAAAACAUUUUUUUCUCUGCAGGUGUGUUCCGAAUUGCCUUAGGGCUAUAUAUUGAUGAUUUUGAGGUGUGUAACCCUUUAGGUACUUUAAAGAAAAAACAUAAGAUUUGUGCUGUUUACUGGGUUUUGGCAAACCUACCCCUUCUUUAUAGGUCAUCCUUAACAUCAAUCAAUCUUGCUCUGUUGUGUCAUACUUCUGAUGUGAAAACAUAUGGAUAUUCUGCUGUUCUAGAGCCACUUCUUAGAGACAUUGAGCAACUAGAAACCAAAGGUGUAUACAUAGAAAGAUUGCUUUUGUAUCAGCAGAUAACUUAG